UACGUAGGGACCAAGCGUUGUUCGGAUUUACUGGGCGUAAAGGGCGCGUAGGCGGCGUGGUAAGUCACUUGUGAAAUCUCUGAGCUUAACUCAGAACGGCCAAGUGAUACUGCUGUGCUAGAGUGCAGAAGGGGCAAUCGGAAUUCUUGGUGUAGCGGUGAAGUGCGUAGAUAUCAAGAGGAACACCUGAGGUGAAGACGGGUUGCUGGGCUGACACUGACGCUGAGGCGCGAAAGCCAGGGGAGCAAACGGG
rnacentral:rRNA from 1 species